GACGUAGGGUCCGAGCGUUGUCCGGAAUUAUUGGGCGUAAAGAGCGUGUAGGCGGCCAGACAGGUCCGUUGUGAAAACUAGAGGCUUAACCUCUAGACGUCGAUGGAAACCGUCUGGCUAGAGUCCGGAAGAGGAGAAUGGAAUUCCUGGUGUAGCGGUGAAAUGCGCAGAUAUCAGGAAGAACACCCGUGGCUAAGGCGGUUCUCUAGUACGGUACUGACGCUGAGACGCGAAAGCGUGGGGAGCGAACAGG
rnacentral:rRNA from 1 species